GGCUGCUUAGCUCAGUUGGCUAGAGCGUUUCAUUCACAUUGAAGAGGUCCGAAGGUUCGAGUCCUUCAGCAGCCACCA
rnacentral:tRNA from 2 species